GAAAUGCGAUAAGUAGUGUGAAUUGCAGAAUUCAGUGAAUCAUCGAAUCUUUGAACGCACAUUGCGCUCCCUGGUAUUCCGGGGAGCAUGCCCGUUUCAGAAUCAUUAAAAUAUCUCACCAGCUGUUGGGUGUUUCGACGCUCGGCGGCGGGUGGAUGUUGGACUGUUUGCCCCUGGCGGGGCAAUCGUCUAAAAAUGAUGGUGCGUGCUGCAGCUUUCGUCAGCCGGCAGUCAAAGUGCAACAGAUGUCUAUUGACUUUGUGCUGUCUGAUUGGCAUUGUGACGUACGUACUCCCGACCACCUACGGUUGGGGUUGCGGAUGCAGCCACAACUGGUAACUUGGUCUGAAAUCGGGCAAGAAAACCCGCUGAACUUAAGC
rnacentral:misc_RNA from 1 species